GUGGGGAAUCUUGCGCAAUGGGCGAAAGCCUGACGCAGCCAUGCCGCGUGAAUGAUGAAGGUCUUAGGAUUGUAAAAUUCUUUCACCGGGGACGAUAAUGACGGUACCCGGAGAAGAAGCCCCGGCUAACUUCGUGCCAGCAGCCGCGGUAAUACGAAGGGGGCUAGCGUUGCUCGGAAUUACUGGGCGUAAAGGUCGCGUAGCCGGACAGUUUAGUCAGAGGUGAAAGCCCAGGGCUCAGCCUUGGAAUUGCCUUUGAUACUGGCUGGCUUGAGUACGGGAGAGGUGAGUGGAACUCCGAGUGUAGAGGUGAAAUUCGUGGAUAUUCGGAAGAACACCAGUGGCGAAGGCGACUCACUGGCCCGUUACUGACGCUGAGGCGCGAAAGCGUGGGGAGCAAACAGGAUUAGAUACCCUAGUAGUCC
rnacentral:rRNA from 1 species